rnacentral:rRNA from 1 species
GACGAACGCUGGCGUCGUGCUUAACACAUGCAAGUCGAGCGGUAAGGCCCUUUCGGGGGUACGACGAGCGGCGAACGGGUGAGUAACACGUGGGUGACCUGCCCUCAGCUCUGGGAUAAGCCCGGGAAACUGGGUCUAAUACUGGAUAUGACUCCAUGACGCAUGUUGUGGGGUGGAAAGCCUUGUGCGGCUGAGGAUGGGCCCGCGGCCUAUCAGCUUGUUGGUGGGGNGAUGGCCUACCAAGGCGACGACGGGUAGCCGGCCUGAGAGGGCGACCGGCCACACUGGGACUGAGACACGGCCCAGACUCCUACGGGAGGCAGCAGUGGGGAA